AAUAUUGGACAAUGGGCGGAAGCCUGCUCCAGCCAUGCCGCGUGUGUGAAGAAGGNCCNNGGAUUNUNAAGCCUUUUAUUUUCNNNNNAAAGGCAGUUAAUGACAGCUUAACUGUUUUCACCUUACCAAAAGAAUAAGCCCCGGCUAAUUUCGUUCCAGCAACCGCGGUAAUACGAACGGUGCAAGCGUUAAUCGGAAUUACGGGGCGUAAAGCGCGCGUAGGUGGGGCGGUAAGUUGGAAGUGAAAGCCACGGGCUUAACCUAGGAAUGGCUUUCAAAACUGGCGAGCUAGAGUACGGUAGAGGGUGGUGGAAUUUCCUGUGUAGCGGUGAAAUGCGUAGAUAUAAGAAGGAACAUCAGUGGCGAAGGCGACCACCUGGACUGAUACUGACACUGAGGUGCGAAAGCGUGGGGAGCAAACAGG
rnacentral:rRNA from 1 species